rnacentral:lncRNA from 1 species
GUGGGAAUGUAUUUCUCUUUCUUGUUUCCCUGUUCGUCCUCCACUCAUGGUCAAGCUUAGUGUUCUCGUUUCGUAAGAAGUGCAGGUAUCUUCAUAUGUACUUGCUUGUUGAUUGAGUCCCUUAGCUCUGGGGUUUGUCAAUGGGAGUGGCGAGCGCGCAUCGCAGCUCGUCAUCCUCCUCAGGAGUCUGUGCUGUCAACAAGGGAGAUACCUGCCCCGAUGUAUUAGAUCGAGCAAUAAGAUCGUUUCCGCUUGAUCUGUCGUUUUGCCGGGU